rnacentral:lncRNA from 1 species
UGAAACUGGUUAGCUGGCGUCACUAACAGCCAGUACUGCUCCAGCCACAUUGUUCCUUCCUGUCCCAGGCCUAGUUGUCCCUCUUGGGCCUUGUCCUACUUCACUCCUGUUGGUACGAAGUAAACUCCAUGACCAUAGGGAUGGGGAGGAGAGACUUACUUCUUGUUACAGCCUUCAGCCCAUCCGAGGUGCAGGAACUCAGGGUAGGAGGGAACUGGAGCAGGAACUGAGCGGAGGCCAGGAGGAGUGCUGCUCACUGGCUUGUUCCCCAUGAUUUGCUCAGCCUGCUUUUCUAUACAACCCAGGACCACCAGCCCCAGGAUGGCACUACUUACAGUGGUCUGGGCCCUCCUGCAUCCAUCAUUAAUCCAGAGCAUGCCCCACACACUUGCCUCUAGGGCAGUGUGACGGAGGUGUUUUCUCAGUUGAAUUUCUUCUUCCCAGAUGACUAGCUUGUGUCAAGUUGACAGAAAAAAAAAAAAAAAAAUCCAGCUAAACAGAAAAACCAACCAGGACAGGCUGCUGCCCCUGCUGUUGAUAGUGGGUCCUAACCAGUCUGAUAUCCUGCUCUGUUCCUUAUCAUUUUGCCUUCCAAUGUCAGCCACCCAACGUGUCCCCGAGCCCUCCGUGUUGCCCUGUCCUGUUACUCUUCGUGUCAUACAUAUGCUUGGUUCUAUUUGUCAUAGUUUGGUCUUGCUGAUCCCUAUUCCAUGGCGUGUCCAACACUGGGAGAACAAGAAGCCCAUGUGGCCGAGUGCCAUGUCUCC